UAGGGAAUCUUCCACAAUGGGCGAAAGCCUGAUGGAGCAACGCCGCGUGUGUGAUGAAGGGUUUCGGCUCGUAAAACNCUGUUGUAAGAGAAGAAUGACAUUGAGAGUAACUGUUCAAUGUGUGACGGUAUCUUACCAGAAAGGAACGGCUAAAAUACGUACCAG
rnacentral:rRNA from 1 species